GACGAACGCUGGCGGCGUGCCUAAUACAUGCAAGUCGAGCGGAUCUUCAUUAGCUUGCUUUUGAAGAUCAGCGGCGGACGGGUGAGUAACACGUGGGCAACCUGCCUGUAAGACUGGAAUAACUUCGGGAAACCGGAGCUAAUACCGGAUAAUCCUUUUCCUCUCAUGAGGAAAAGCUGAAAGACGGUUUCGGCUGUCACUUACAGAUGGGCCCGCGGCGCAUUAGGUAGUUGGUGAGGUAACGGCUCACCAAGGCGACGAUGCGUAGCCGACCUGAGAGGGUGAUCGGCCACACUGGGACUGAGACACGGCCCAGACUCCUACGGGAGGCAGCAGUAGGGAAUCUUCCGCAAUGGACGAAAGUCUGACGGAGCAACGCCGCGUGAGCGAUGAAGGCCUUCGGGUCGUAAAGCUCUGUUGUCAGGGAAGAACAAGUACCGGAGUAACUGCCGGUACCUUGACGGUACCUGACCAGAAAGCCACGGCUAACUACGUGCCAGCAGCCGCCGUAAGAC
rnacentral:rRNA from 1 species